rnacentral:rRNA from 1 species
AUUGAACGCUGGCGGCAGGCCUAACACAUUCAAGUCGAACGAGUGGCGGACGGGUGAGUAAUGUCUGGGAAACUGCCUGAUGGAGGGGGAUAACUACUGGAAACGGUAGCUAAUACCGCAUACCAUCAGAUGUGCCCAGAUGUGAUUAGCUUGUUGGUGGGGUAACGGCUCACCAAGGCGACGAUCCCUAGCGGGUCUUAGAGGAGGACCAGCCAAACUGGACUGGAGACACGGUCCAGACUCCUACGGAAGGCAGCAGUGGGGAAGAUUGCACAAUGGGCGCAAGCCUGACGCAGCCAUGCCGCGGGUAUGAAGAAGGCCUUCGGGUGGUAAAGUACUUUCAGCGGGGAGGCGUUACCCGCAGAAGAAGCACCGGCUAACUCCGUGCCAGCAGCCGCGGUAAUAC